rnacentral:tRNA from 1 species
GAGGGUAUAGCUCAGUGGUAGAGUACAUGCCUAGCACUCAUGAGGUCCUGGGUUCAAUUCCCGUUACCUCCU